UUCAUUUUCAUUGACUGAAAUAUUUUGUGGAAGCUUUGCUUAGUCCCAUGAUGAAUGUAUUCCAGUAAAGCAUGGACGCUUUGUGCAUUUCAUUUUUUUCCUUUUUUUCUUGAGAGCUGCAUGUACUGGACUUACUGUGAGUAGAGCUGGAAUCAUUUCCUUUCUGUAGUUUCAAACACUAAUACUGAUGGACCGAAUGUCUGUAUUUUAAGCAAAUUUCUGCUUACUUUGUUAUAGACUUUGCUUACAUUAAGAAAAGCAAAAGAUGGUUUCUAAGUGUUAUUUGUCCCUACUGCUUCAAAGCUAUUCAGUAUUCUCGAUAUCAUUUCAGUCAGUUCAAUGUUUUUCUGGCGUUGUCAUUUUUUGUAAAAUUCCUACGUAGUUAUAGUGAACCUUGAGAAGCAAGCAAUCUUUCUUGGAGAACUUUUUAUUAAACAAUCAGAUGUGUUGACUCCAGUAAGGACUGAAGUGAAUGAGAUGGUAGUAUCUUGGAGGUUAGAGCUUUAAAGGGAUUCCUUUUCUCUAACUUGGUUUUAAACUAGAAUUUAGCCACAAGAAGGCAAAAUUCAAAGAGCAGAAAAAUAGGAGCUGAUGUUUGAAUGUAGAGAGGCAAAAGCUGCUUCACAGUUCAUUUGCUGCUUCUGUCUGAAAGCAUCCAUACAGAAAAGCUUUCCUUCAAGAUGUGGAGCAAUAUUACAGACAAGUAUCAAUGUAAUAUAUAUGCUUUUUUUUUUUGUUAACACUGUGUAAGGGGGCUGGAAACUGCAGUGGGCAAAUUAGAAAUGUGGUGGUGCCAGCUAAUGACACUUUUGAUUAAAGAAAGAAAAAGUCACGUUCGUGGCCAGGGACUCAGUUUCGUAGGAUGGGAAACAGAAGAGAGAAACCAAGUAGAAUAACAAGUUGAAGGCUUGUGGCCUGGGCAAGAAUGGGACAGGAAAGGUUGAAUUAUAAGAUGAGGAUGGUAUGGCACAUAGAAAGGCAUGGAAGUGAAUAAUAUGACUAAAGAUGGUGAUGGAGAAUAGAUGCUUGAGUCAUGUGAGGCCAGAGAGGAGGUGUUGUAUGAGAGCCCUGACAGCAUAGCUGUCCGUGGUGCUGGGUGGAGACCAGCAGCUAGGAGCAGGCUGUGUGGUGCUCAGGAGCAGUUAAGGAGUGCCCGACCCUAUGUGGGGGGUGUGUGUGUGGAAGCACUGCUCUUUUCUUGUGGAAAAUUAUCUUUCUGGAUGGUGAGUAAUAGAGAAAGCACAGAAGAUAUGACUGAGAUGAUGUGAAGAGUCUCGGUUCUCUGAGGCAGAAAGGUCAGCUGUGAAUUGGGAAUUUAAGGGCUCUUUUUAAGUUUGAUUCUGACAGAGACAUGACAUCUAGUAGAAGCAAGUGAUAUCACUCUCCUAGAAAAGUUGUUGUUGUGUUAAAUACCUGUUGAAGGGCUUUUGACAGCCUGAUGGUUUACAAAUGUGUUCAGAACGUAUUUGAUAAGAUAGAUACUUAAAAAAAAAAAAAUGGCAAGGUGCCACUUGUCAGCACGAGGAACCACAGUAUUUUCCACUAACUAGUUUGUCUUCCUGGGUUAGCACAUCUGUGUGAACACUCAUUUAGUUGUUGUAAAUAAUUUAUAUAGCAUGGGGUGAAAGUUAAUGGAGCAGCAGUUAAAGCAACUACUCUGGCUAUGUACUUGCAUGAGGGUUGGUUGUUUUUUGUUUUUUUUUGCACUUUUUCAGUGUUUCUCAUACAAUGCCUGCUGUUGUGGAAUUUACAUUUUCAGUGCCUUGGGGCCUUUUUUUUUUUUUAAGCUGUGGGCUUAAUGCUUCAUGAAAAAUCAGUUCUGAAGUUUGAGGGGUAUUCUACUUGUAGCCUCAGACUGGGAACCUUCAAGUCCAGUUCAGUCAUCCUUCUGCAUUCCACUUACAAAGGUUCUCCACUUUUUUGUGAUUAGUGAGUCUUUGUUAACGGUAGGAAGAAUGGGUACUGCUUCUGUUAUUUCAUUCUUAAACAAGCUUAACACUUGUUUCUUUCCCAUUUAAUAUACUACUUAAUGUUUCCCCCGUUAAGUUUGUUUGUGGUUUUUUUCUUAGAAGAUGCUUGUAAUUUAUCGUUAACUAUUUUUAAACGUGAUCUGAAAGAAACAAAUAGCCCAGAUCUCAACAUCUAACUGCAUUUUUUUCCUAUAGAAAUUAGGUUGUAUCACUUUGAAUUUCUUCUUAAUCAAGUGACUUCUUUCCUUCAAGAUUCACACCUUAGUGAGCUGUUGCCUAAGUCAUGCUCACUUAAGCGUAGUGAGCUUGCUGGGUGUCUUAAGGCAGUAAAUAAUUCAUACAGAUACUGCCUCACUGAUGGUCCUGCCUUUUGUCUCUGGUUUAUUUAUUUGGUACACAGGUCACUUUCGGUGGUUUGAUUUAUCUAUAAUGACAGCUUUCCUCAUUUACUAACAUUUCUCACGUCAUUUCUCUUAAGUAGCUGUAUUUUCUGGUUGUUUACAAUUACAUGUAACAUACUAUACAGAACAAAAGUAGAAACAGCAGAUCUUUUUGAGCUUUCUGGCUUUGGAUAAUAGCUUCUGUAAAUGAAAGCAAUAUAUGCCUAUCCUUUAAGACCGUAUAUCAUUUAUGAGAUCAGUGGGUUAUUUUUUAUUCUCAGCUCCGAAAAGGAACAAUUUCAUGAAUUCAUAUAGAGGGACUUCCUUGUAAAUAAUAAUUACAUGUUAGUACUAGUGAAUAGUGAAGCUCAUGUAGAAACAUGGUCUUGUUCUUGUUUUCUUUCAUUAUUUUAUGUAUCAUCACAUCAGCCUUUUGUCUGUAGCUAAGUUUUUUUAAAACUUUGAUCUCCACAGAGACGAAUUUAAAAUGUGAUAAUGCCAAUAAGAUUGGCAGCUGAGAUGCCUGUCUCUUUUACAUCUAAAUUGAAAAAAGCAGUUUUAAUACUUGAGGGGAGGGGAGUUUGAAGCAUGUCAAAGGCAUGAAUUCUUAUGACAUCUUUGUCAUAUGUCCUCAUUUUAGACAGGUAAAUUGUCUUCCAUCAGCUUUGACAGUUCCUAACAACGCCGUUUAGCGUUAGUCAGUAUAUUUUACAUUCCUUUUCUUCAGAGUUUGAGAAUAAGUAAUUUUUCUCCUCUGUACAAAAAUUAGACUAAUUUAACAGAUAUUUUCUUAAAUUCCAAGAAAAGGAAUAGUUAAGUAUAACAUGCUUAAGCACAACAUAUUUAAAAGUUAUGUGCAUGUAAUACAACAAUGCAACUAAAGAUUUUAUUUGUAUGGAGAUAAGGUAGAGUCAUUUAAAAUGCAAGAGUAUGUGCAUCAAUUCUUAGAACAGUCUUGACUAAAAAGUGAAUUAAUAGCGAAACAUAAAUCCUUUCAUAUCUCUUGUCUUUUAAGUACAGUAGCUAACAUAUCUAAAAUUUCAAGUGUCUGCCAUAUUUUGGCUUAGUACCAUAUCUUAUCAGUGUAGCAGAAAACAUAAGUUUCCAUCAUAGCAACAAAGUCCUAUUCUUGUGUAACUUGCUAUGCCCCAUUAAGUUUCAAGAGUUCUUGCAUUUAGACUGCACAGAUUUGGAUGCAUGCCUUGAACAUGCAUUUCACCUCAAGUAACUGUUUAUAGCAGUGUUUCUUUUCUUUCUGAUUUCUUUAGCAGAGGCUCCUACUUAAGAAGUGUAAGGCAGGAGAGAAAAAUCAUUAAGCCAUAAUUUCACUCCAGCAUUCUAACACCUCAAACAACUAUUUUCCUUUUUAUUUCUUCCUCAUAACAGACUGGAGAUGAAGUUCCUCUAGAUUCUUACAUGCAUUUUUAGGUUUCCAUGCUAUGGAAAUGCAACUGGGAUGGAAGUGUACAGGCUGGUACUUCCAUAAUGACCUUGAUUGACAAUUCUUUUGCUUCCUGGUAGGUGGGAGCCAUAACGCUUAGUGUAAGGACUGUUGUAGGCUGGAGGAAGAGGAAGACUGCAAUAAACAGAACUAGCGGUGUUCUCCCCUUUCUACUUUCCUGGUUGCACAGUGGGACUUCUCCCACUCUGCUACUGAUGCCCCAGAUGAACUCCUUGGGGGAGGAGCAGCCUCAACAGUUUUGAGGAAGAGAAACCUGAUUGCUCCAAGGCCCGC